UGAGGGCUGCGGAGGUGCAGAAACAGAGUGGCUACAGAGACAUAUGGGAGCUGGGGACUAAGAGCAGCCAGCAUCUCCUACAGGAACUCUGCUGUUGGAUGAAACGGGAAGCAGGAUUCCACCAUCGUUGCCCUUCCUGUUUCAAGACCUGGCAUGCAAUGCCUUCUCGGAAGGAGAAUGUGGCACCAUUUGUACCAUCUUCUGGCGUGUGUGGGGACUGAAACCUGGGAUGGAAUGAGAAGAGCGCCAUCUAGUGGUCAGAAGACUCAAGAAGGGACCUGUUCUGAAAUUUUUCCCCCAGAAAAGCAGGUAAAGCAGGAACUUGCCCACAUCAAGUGAUAUUUUAAAGCCAUCUGGAGUAACAUCAUCCAGAAAUUGAUUUGCACGUGUUUCUCACAUGCCUCGUGGGAAAACUCAGAACAGUAACAAAAAUAUUGAGUGGCCUGAAAGGUGAAUGUAUUAAUAGAAAUAUGAUUGCUAGCUCUCCUCUGGCAGCAGAGCCCUGAGUGUUCAACUUCAUGCAGCCAGACCUUGCGGAAGCUCUGCUCCUUCCAUAUCAGUUGUGACCCUUCGUUAAUAACCUGAUGAUUCUGUGCAGACAAGUGAGUCACUUCUGUCCUGGGUUCCCAGGAACAUCUGCGAGACCAAGGUAGCCCUGGCUGAGGGCAUGGGCGCUGCAGUAGGGGUGGGCACAGGUCCAAAGCAGCCUCAUGUCUGUGUGAGCCGAACAAGUCCAAGCACUGCUCAGAAGCCAUCAGCGGCUCUGCUGGUUAACUGUGAGUUGCUCUCUGCUGCUGAGCGGCUUUCUUUUCUGAUUUAACCAAGAGUGGGGGAAAUGGUGGGGCAUUGACUGCCAUUUAUGCCUCGAGCCUAUGCCUGCAGAGACCACUAUGGGGAUAUUUUCAUCUUCUUGUUUUUGUUUGAGUACUGGGGAUGCAGGAACGUGGAGGUCUGGUUUGGCCAUGGAGCAUAAUAUUCUGUUUGCUUAUUUAUAAAAGACCCAACUACGCUGUGUUCCGUAGCUCAGUUAAGAACACUAAAUAGCAAGUUGCAGUGGAGGAAGAAUGGAUGAGGUAAAAGACUGAAUUCUUUCCUCAACUGUGUGAUCUCAGCCAAAUUAUAUGAUUGCUUGGAACACUG